AUAGGCAAACUGGAAAAACAUAAAAUCGGUGCUAAAGGCGACUUUGUGAAAAUUGCUAGAAAAUAAGUUAUUUAACUUAAAAACGCAAAAUAAUUGGUGAAAACAAUGCAUUAACAACCUGAAAAUCCGUUGGCAUAUUUGGUGUACACUUAGCAGACGCCAAUAUGAUGGAAAUUCCUAUACAAGUAGCCGUGAGAAUCUACCCCUGCUUACCACCGGCUGCAACAAUAGUAUCAGCACCACUACCAUCAGCUGGCAAUGUUGUAGAUACCAGAUCGAAUUUAGGGGCAGAUGUGGAUUUGGAAUUAACAACGCAAAAAGAUGAUAAUGGUAAUUUUAGCACGCAAGUAGGCGACGAAAAAGUGGAAACGGUUUUGCCAAACGAGCCAUGUGCAAAUGAACCCUCGAACUUCUGCGUGCAAGCCAUUCCUAUGGCAGCGCCAGCUUUUCUAAAUGCGGCACCUACAGCUCUGCCUGGACAAUUGGACAUCGGCAUAGCUGCCGGACUAAUGCAGGUAGGACCGCAUUCCUUCCCAGUGACUCAUGCUCUUCCCUCGGAUUGCACGCAGAGUCAAAUUUACCACCAAACGGUAUUUCCGCUGAUCAGCUUGUUCAUGGAGGGAUUCGAUGCAUCGGUGGUAACAUAUGGUCAACGAGGUACGGGUAAAACAUACACACUUUAUGGCCCCGGUUUGAAUUGUGUAUACGGUGAGUCUGAACAGGGCGUUGUGCAACGGUGUGUGCGAGAAAUAUUUGCGCACAUGGCAAACCAUCCAGAACGUACCUAUGCUGUAAAUAUCGGUUGGGUUGAGAUAAUCGAUGAUGUUAUACAAGAUCUUUUGGGCGUGGGCAAUGUGCAUUGUGAAAGUAUCACCGAUGUUUUCCAUUGGUUACAGCAGGGUUUAACGGCUAAACAGCAAACGGCGACCCAAUAUGAAGAGGUUACCCCCAGAAGUCAUACCCUUUUUACGCUUACACUCGAACAACAAUGGGUUUCAAAAGAAGGUCUCAUUCAACAUCGCUUAUCCACAGCUAGUUUUUCCGAUUUAUGUGGCUCCGAUCGUGUAUUUACGUUAAACUCUUUGGAUCAACCAACCAGCUUGCCCAAAGAUGUUGGUCUGCAAACUUUGGAUCAAGUUGUAAACACGCUUACCGAUCCAGCGCUUAUGUAUGGAGCCAACGGCAAUAUACCCUACAAUCGAGCUACACUGACAACACUUUUGAAAGACUCUUUCGGCGGACGAGCACAAACCUUGCUAAUUUUGUGCGUUUCACCACUAGAACGCGAUUGUAAUGAAACCAUUUGCAAUUUACAAUUUGCUUUCAAAGUCCAAUGUGUGCGAAAUUAUGUGAUUAUGAAUACGUUUUCGGAUGAUAACACACCUAUAUCACCAGAAGCUUUGGUGCCUGAAUUACCAGGAGGCGGUGGGCCUUGUCUUCCAGUAGGAACGGAUACAUUUGGGUUGCAGUUCGCAGCCAGCCAGUGGUAUAAAUUGGUGGCAAAUGCAGAGGGCCUCUUCUCUAAAUUGGCUGCUUCAAACGCCGUCACUGAACUAGACAAAGAGCAAAUAGAAGAGUGGCUUUACUUGAAGCAAGAAUGCGAGGAGUGUUUGAGCUCUGCUGAAGCUCUACGCUCACAGAAGCAAUUGGGACCAAUACAAGAAGCAGAUGAGCCUGAGGAGGCAAUAAGCGAGCCAGAAACUUCUUUGCAACAAAACUCGGACAAUGAUUCCGAUUGCGAAUCCCAGCGGCCAGAUUUGAUGGAAAAGCUACAGACGUUAAUGGAAGAAUUACGUCUGAAGACGGACACUUUGAUACAGGACAAAUAUAAAGAAUUUUUGCAAAGUCAACCGAAAGCGGUUAUGGAAAGCCAGGAUAGCUUAAGGCACAAAGAGUCGGCGCACAGCAUGGAGUUGGUGUUGAGUGAGCAACCUCCGCCUAGAGAAAAGUUGGACGAACGCAAAACAUCCAUUGGAGGACGGCGGCGAUCUAUCCAACCUGGCGCUAGUCUCUCCAGUGCUGAAAUUGCCAUGCUGAAUCGCGUAGCUUCACGUGAACAAGCAGCACCCAAAGCAGUCGAUGAUUUUCUCGAAAGUUCAGGUGACCUACAGAACGCCUCACAGCUGCGUGCUGCAAUCAAUUCACCACUUGAAAAUAUGCAGAAGAAAUUGCGCAAAUUGGACACAGAUAUCGAAGCACGGCAAUGUCAAAUACAAGAGGUGGAGCAAACCAUGCAAUUGAAGCAGAAUAUUAUCACAGAGCUUGUGAAAAACAGUGAUACACGCUCCACCGCCAAGCAGCGUUUCCAUAAGAAAAAGUCCAAGCUCGAGUCUGAGUAUGAAAAGACUAAAAAGCAAUUGGCCAAGGCAAUAGUACAGGGCAAGGAGAAGUCUGAAGUAGAAAGAUUGCGCGCUUUAAUCGCCCACAUAGAGCAGCGCCUGCAAGAUCUCGCUUCAAUGAAGCACAUUGCCGGCGAAAGUGGGCAAAAGGUGAAGAAGCUGCAGCAUUCUAUACACGAGUCUAAAAAGGUCAUCGAUGAGCUGCAAAAGAAGUUAAAGAAAGAUCGUAAACAACGCGAACAAUUAGAGCACGAGUUAAAGGUACUAAAAGAGAAGGAAAAUAGUGGCAAUGGCAACAAAGCACUAGUAAAAUUAGACCCAAACGCUUUCAACAAUGGUGAAGAUGCAGAGCGCGGCAAGAAUCUGAAAGAGGUUCAGGCCCGCAUUUCGCACUUGGAUCACGUAUUGCGCGAGAAAUCAGAGAACCUGGAGCAAUAUGGUGAUACCGCUGAGGGCACUGGCGAAAAAGAGGGACUGCGGCAUGAAAUACGCAAUCUGAGGCGCACGCGGGAUCAUCUACUCGAGCAGCGUUGCACGCUCGAUCGCAAGCUGAAGCGCGACAAAAUGCUUUCACAUCGUGAGGAACGCAAGCUACUCGAAUGCGAUGAGGCUAUUGAAGCCAUCGAUGCAGCAAUUGAAUUCAAAAACGAGCUCAUUUGCGGACACAAAUCCAUUGAUACCAGCGAACGAGUGCAGCGCGAAAAGGGCGAACAAAUGCUGAUGGCACGUCUAAAUAAACUUUCGCCAGAGGAGAUGCGCACGCUGUUAUAUAAGUACUUCACAAAAGUGAUUGAUUUGCGCGAUUCAUCGCGCAAGCUGGAAGUGCAGCUAAUGCAACUGGAACGAGAACGUGACGCUUGGGAAUGGAAAGAGCGUGUACUUUCGAAUGCAGUAAGGCAGGCGCGAUUGGAGGGUGAACGCAAUGCAGUGCUAUUGCAGCGACAACAUGAAAUGAAACUUACACUAAUGUUGCGUCAUCUCGCCGAGGAGACAUCAGCAUCGACUAGCUCGGUGAGUUUCAGUGAAGCACAACAGCAGCAUCAGCAGCAGCAACGUUACUUGCGACCCACAAACUUAGCGCUAACACAUCAGCAACAACAAAUGCAUACAGCUGGCGGUGCUAUGAACACAUCAUCACAGUAUUCCGACACUGAUCUCGAUUUAGAUUUCUAUAAGAACGCUCCUAUACCGGUGAGUGGUAAAAUUUUAAAGCCUCCCAAGCAUGGUGAAAUGGAAAUAUGUCCAUUGCCCGAUGCUUUGGCUAAAUACAAACCGUUGGAUAAGUUAAAGGAGAAGGAGCGUGAAUCGAAGAACAAACUAUUUGCCAAAUUUCAAGUGCUCACACGCUAUGCUGGUCAGUCGGUAACUGCCGCAGCCGCUGGUUGCGCUGCGGACGAACAGGCCGGCAGUAGUGGCCGUAAGAAGGAUAAAGGGCAGCAGCUGGCUGCAGCCAUACCACAAGAAAAUCUAAAACGCUUAAUUUCGACUCCUCCAGCCACAAAAGUGACACGUCAGAAGAAUAAGAUCAUCAUACAGGAUGCAACGCGCAAAAAUUAGGCGAAGUAUGAAUGAUAGGAGGGUGAGCAUUUGCAGCUAAUAUAUUAUUAAAGUAGAAGAGAAAGAGGGAAAGAUAAUGAAAAGGUUUAACAUUACAGUUACAUUUUUUAUUACAGUUGUGUCUUUCUACCCUUAGCUAACCAUGACCUAACUUUUGAUGUAUUUCUACCUAAAGUCUGCUAAGUCUGUCUAAUCAGUAUGCGUUUUUUUUUACUCCACUGAAAUUUUUCACAAAACACACUUCCAUCUUUUCAGUUUAAAGUAGCAAUAUUGAGUUUUUUUUUAUAUUUUUUAUACAUAUGUAUGUAUGUUUCAAAUGUACAACUUCGUUGUAUGCAUUUCAAAAUGUAUCAUGUCUUUUCUUAACUUUGAAAUUAUACACAUUUUUUUUACGUUAUUGUCGAUACGAAUGAAUAUUGUGUUUUAUCGGUAGCUUACCAAAUAUUAUCAGGUUGUUUUAAAAGCGUUUACUCAUUGUUUCCCUAUGUGUUUGGUGCUUUUGUACUUAUAAAAUGUUUGUUCCAAAUAUUUUUACAUAUUUUGGGGCUCAGUAUACAUAUUUUCGUGAAUUAUUUUAAUUUAACUUAAAACAUUUGUUAAUUUUUACAUAUUUAUAGUGUUUUAUAGUGAAGCAAGAGUAACAAUAAACGUCGUAAAGAAUUUUAAGUCAUUUAAGAUUCAUUAAGAGGAGUUCCCUUAAGCAGAAAUCUCAAAAACGUCGCAAAUUUUCAAACUUUGACUGAGCUGUUAAAAUCUUCAUGUAAAAUACAUUCUGAGCCUAAAAAUUUACAGUUAUUCUGAGUUGAAUAGAUUCGUAGAAAUACUUUUCAUUGAAAAUCCAAAUUACAUACAUAUAUACGUAUGUAUGUUCGUAGCAAAUUUAAUAUAAGCGAUUCCCUUAAAUUACGAAAAAUAAAAACUCAAAAACACGAAAAAUCUUUAUAGUAAUUUUAAAAAAUUUUUACAAUUUUCUAAUGUUUUUGAGGUAAAUUGAUCUGGCGAAAUUUUAGAAGUUUUAGUUUCAUAUUUUUCAAAUUAAAAGAAACCGCUUAAAUAAUGUCGUGUUUCCACUGGACAUUAAAUCACAAAAUUGAUCGAGUGAAAUUUCAAGAGUUUUAUGUUUUCUUAUUUCUCAAACUUAAAGAAAUCGUCUAAAUUGUGUCGGAUUUCCCCUGAACAUUAAAUUACUGAUCUGGCGAUAUUUUAAGAGUUUCAAGUUUUAUAUUUUUGAUACUUAAAGAAAUCACCUAAAAAAUUCCGUAUUUCCACUAGACAUUAAAUCAAAAAAUCGUAAAUUAUUGAUCGGGUAAAUUUUUAAAAGUUUUAAGUUUUCUUAUUUUUUAAAUUCAAAGAUAUCGCCUAAAUUAUGCCAGAUUUCCACUGAACAUUAAAUUAUUUAUCUGUCGAAAUUGAAAGAGUUUCAAGCUUUUUUCUUCAAAUUUAAAGAAAUCGCAUAAAUGAUUCCGUAUUUCCAUCGGACAUUAAACUACAAAAUCGUAAAUUAUUGAUCGGCCGAAUUUAUAAGAGUUUUAAGUUUUCUAAUUUUUUAAAUUUAAAGAGAUCGCGUAAAUAAUUGUCCUUUAUCACUGAGCAUUAAAUUAAUAAUCUGGCGAAAUGGUACGAGUUUAAUUUUUCUUUUUUUUCAAAAUUAAAGAAAUCGCCUAAAUAAUUCCGUAUUUCCACCGGACAUCAAAUCAAAAAAGGUAUUGUGUAUGUAUGCUAAUCAGUCCAACGAUUUUCGUGGACUGAGAUGGACGAGGUACACUCGCACUCUUUUUCCACUCUUGCCCACAAAAAACCGGUUUCAGUCCGCCUGAGAAAUCACCUAAAAGCUUGCAAAUUUUUUUAAUAAAAAAUAUGAUUUAUUUAAUUUUUACAGUUAUCUAUUCCUUUUGGUGCUCAACUUUUCGCUGUUUUUGGUUUGUAAAUUAAGCCAUACAAUUUUAUAAAACAAAGUAUUGGUUUUAUAAAAAAAAAGAUUUUUUUGUAAUUUUUUUGAAAUAAAAAUUACAUACAUAAGAAUAGGCACCAUAUUUUGUUUUUUUUCUUUAAUCAAACAAAAUGCUAUUUCAAAAGAAUACUCAGAACAUU